rnacentral:misc_RNA from 1 species
UCCGGUUUGACACCGGCAGUCUCCCUAGAGUUCCCGGCAUAACCCGCUGGUAACUAGGGACGAGGGUUGCGCUCGUUGCGGGACUUAACCCAACAUCUCACGACACGAGCUGACGACAGCCAUGCAGCACCUGUGCACGAGUCCCGAAGGAAAGCAGGUGUUUCCACCCGCCGUCCCGUGCAUGUCAAGCCCAGGUAAGGUUCUUCGCGUUGCUUCGAAUUAAACCACACGCUCCACCGCUUGUGCGGGUCCCCGUCAAUUCCUUUGAGUUUUAGCCUUGCGGCCGUACUCCCCAGGCAGCGCACUUAAUGCGUUAGCUGCGGCACCGGAGGGGUCGAUACCCCCGACACCUAGUGCGCACCGUUUACGGCGUGGACUAC